AUGCAGUUCGAACGGCAGCACGGGCUUCGGCCUGGUGGCGAGUGGCGAACGGGUGAGUAAUACAUCGGAACGUACCCAGAAGUGGGGGAUAACGCAGCGAAAGUUGCGCUAAUACCGCAUACGUUCUACGGAAGAAAGUGGGGGAUCUUCGGACCUCAUGCUUUUGGAGCGGCCGAUGUCUGAUUAGCUAGUUGGUGGGGUAAAGGCUCACCAAGGCGACGAUCAGUAGCUGGUCUGAGAGGACGACCAGCCACACUGGAACUGAGACACGGUCCAGACUCCUACGGGAGGCAGCAGUGGGGAAUUUUGGACAAUGGGCGCAAGCCUGAUCCAGCAAUGCCGCGUGAGUGAAGAAGGCCUUCGGGUUGUAAAGCUCUUUUGUCAGGGAAGAAACGGCUCCGGCUAAUAUCCGGGGCUAAUGACGGUACCUGAAGAAUAAGCACCGGCUAACUACGUGCCAGCAGCCGCGGUAAUACGUAGGGUGCAAGCGUUAAUCGGAAUUACUGGGCGUAAAGCGUGCGCAGGCGGUUUUGUAAGUCUGUCGUGAAAGCCCCGGGCUCAACCUGGGAAUUGCGAUGGAGACUGCAAGGCUUGAAUCUGGCAGAGGGGGGUAGAAUUCCACGUGUAGCAGUGAAAUGCGUAGAGAUGUGGAGGAACACCGAUGGCGAAGGCAGCCCCCUGGGUCAAGAUUGACGCUCAUGCACGAAAGCGUGGGGAGCAAACAGGAUUAGAUACCCUGGUAGUCCACGCCCUAAACGAUGUCUACUAGUUGUCGGGUUUUAAUUAACUUGGUAACGCAGCUAACGCGUGAAGUAACCGCCUGGGGAGUACGGUCGCAAGAUUAAAACUCAAAGGAAUUGACGGGGACCCGCACAAGCGGUG
rnacentral:rRNA from 1 species